rnacentral:misc_RNA from 1 species
GCUAACUUCAAUUAAAUCUUAACCUAUUAUCUUUAAGAAAGAGCCACACCUAGUUUCAAAUUGUUAAUCAUUGAAUCAAGAAGAAAGAAAAUACAAUUACAGUAAGAAUGGUUUUUUCCUUUAGUAGAUCUACUUAAGUAGCAAAGUAAAUGGGUGCAAUAGAAAAAUGCUUGACCUCCUGCAACAGAAGAUCUAAUAAGAGAUUUU